CUCUCCCCACAGUGCAAGACUAGUAUGGAAGUUCCAACAGUGCUCUGCCCCCCUCCCACGUAGCAGGGAUGAAGGUGUGUAGGCCAAGGGACAUGGAACAGAAACACAGUCUGAGUGUAACCACAGGUUCCAACAGUGCUGCCCCCCUCCCACGUAGCAGGGAUGAAGGUGUGUAGGCCAAGGGACAUGGAACAGGAACACAGUCUGAGUGCAACUAGUCGCAUGUUCCAACAGUGCUGCAAGUGUCCCAACAGUCCUCCCUCCCCACAUAGCAGGGAUGAAGGUGUAAGAUUGUAAGGAAACAUCUGUACAGAGAAGGAUCAACAUGUUACCUAGCUAUUACAAACUGUUACUUUCAGUACCAUUUAGUGAAUGGUCUGGAUAGACAUGUAAAUAAAUUCACAAUGAAUUGUGCAUGACUCAACUUCUUUAUUGUAUGUAGAACAAAGAAGUACUCAAUUGUUUAGCCACUGUUGGACAUUUUUGACAACAAAGGUCCGAACAGAAUGGAACAUCUAGUGCUGUGCUUUCAUCAGUUCAAAGCAUACAUUUCUAUCAUUGCUCAAUUUAAAGAUAUGUACAAAGAAUCAAUGUUAUUUCACUACAGUCGAACAUUUGACAUUAAAAAUCCUAACAGAAUGGAACAUUUAGUGCUGUGCUUUCAUAAGUUCAAAGCAUACAUUUCUAUCAUUGCUCAAUUUAAAGAUAUGUACAAAGAAUCAAUGUUAUUUCACUACAGUCGAAUAUUUGACAUUAAACAUCCUAACAGAAUGGAACAUU